AAACCUUGUAGCGGUACUUGCCAGCUGUCUCUGCUCAUGGACAGCCUGGCCAGCUGCUCCUCACCCUGGUGUAUGACUCUUAGAAGGUGAGAAAGAAGUUUCCUGGAAGGUAUUAGUUUCCUGGGAUCUUGUUUGUGCCUGUUAAAAGGCUUCUUGCUAAUUACAGAGUGAGUCAUGCAAUCCUAUUGAAUUACAGUAUAUGCACCUGUAAAAUGCUCUGCCAGAUAAAACAGAUUUUCUCAGGUAUAUCUGGAUGUAUUGAUGUCAAAGAGAGCUUUGUUUGGGAUGGGGUGAAAAGUUUUACUUCAUGUGCAACAUCCAAGUGCACCCACAAUUGCCAGAUCAACCAGCCCCAGGUGUGAUGAAUGUGCCAGCCUGAGCACCUGGGCCUCUCUUGGAGCUGCUAUCGUUUCGGGCCAUGAGGCUCAGCUGUCCUAGGAUCUUCACCUUCCUGCUGCCACGUGCAGGGCAGGAAAGCUGUGGGCAGUGCGAAGCUGGGUUUGGUUCUGUGAUGUGCAGCCUCUGGGUGCCUUGGAGGGAAGGCAGUGGAUGUGGACUGAGAAGCAAGUCAUUUUUUCCAGAGCAAGGGAGACUUGCAAUGAAGUACCUGGGAAAUGGGUGAAGGAGCAGCCCCCUUUUUUCGGCGGCGCCCCGCGCAUUCCCGCUUGCGCAUUCCACCUUUGUUCUGCAGGAGGAACUCCCUUUGACGUGGAUGUGGAUAUGUAUUCCACACACCAGGCGAGUGCGGAGCGGGCAAUCCAGCCCUCUGCGCCACAGCCUGGGGAGCAGAACAGCUCUCCAGAUCACCCCUUGCAUUUUAAUAGCAGAGGGAAAGCGGAAAUCUCCAUUUUUUGAAAUGGCUAGAAUAAAUAACAGAAUAAAAGGAAGUUCA
rnacentral:lncRNA from 1 species